rnacentral:rRNA from 1 species
CCUACGGGAGGCAGCAGUGGGGAAUAUUGCACAAUGGGGGAAACCCUGAUGCAGCAACGCCGCGUGAAGGAAGACGGUUUUCGGAUUGUAAACUUCUAUCAAUAGGGAAGAAAGAAAUGACGGUACCUAAAGAAUAAGCCACGGCUAACUACGUGCCAGCAGCCGCGGUAAUACGUAGGUGGCAAGCGUUAUCCGGAUUUACUGGGUGUAAAGGGCGAGUAGGCGGGAUUGCAAGUCAGAUGUGAAAACUAUGGGCUCAACCGAUAGAGUGCAUUUGAAACUGCAGUUCUUGAGUGAUGGAGAGGCAGGCGGAAUUCCCGGUGUAGCGGUGGAAUGCGUAGAUAUCGGGAGGAACACCAGUGGCGAAGGCGGCCUGCUGGACAUUAACUGACGCUGAGGCGCGAAAGCGUGGGGAGCAAACAGGAUUAGAUACCCUAGUAGUC